rnacentral:rRNA from 1 species
GACGAACGCUGGCGGCGUGCUUAACACAUGCAAGUCGAACGGAAAGGCCCUGCUUUUGUGGGGUGCUCGAGUGGCGAACGGGUGAGUAACACGUGAGUAACCUGUCCUUGACUUUGGGAUAACUUCAGGAAGCUGGGGCUAAUACCGGAUAGGAGCUCCUGCUGCAUGGUGGGGGUUGGAAAGUUUCGGCGGUUGGGGAUGGACUCGCGGCUUAUCAGCUUGUUGGUGGGGUAGUGGCUUACCAAGGCUUUGACGGGUAGCCGGCCUGGGAGGGUGACCGGCCACAUUAGGACGGGGAUGCGGCCCAGACUCCAACGGGAGGCAGCGGUGGGGAAGAGUGCACAAUGGGCGGAAGCCUGAUGCAGCAACGCCGCGUGCGGGAAGACGGCCUUCGGGUUGUAAUCCGCAUUCGCCUGUGACGAAGCGUGAGUGACGGUAAUGGGUAAAGAAGCACCGGCUAACUACGUG